UGUUUGCAUCGGAAUGUUGGUUCCCGAUCCGAUUUGUCGGGUCAGGGAUUAAAAGGGAAUCCGGUCCAAAACCGGAGCUGUCCCCGCAACUGUAGCCCCAUCUGAGCUGAAACUCAGAUAGUGUUUUGCCCCCACUUGCCAUUGUGCGCCACGGCGUAUGAGAAGGCCAGCAAAACCAGGGAAGCCAGGAGACCUGCCAAAAUUCUUUGUAUUCG
rnacentral:ncRNA from 2 species